AAAACUAGCCAAUCACGGUUUGAUUCAUGGCGAUUUUAACGAAUUUAAUUUGCUGAUGGGUGAAGAAGAUAACAUCACGAUGAUUGAUUUUCCGCAAAUGAUAUCAAUUGAACACCCCAAUGCUGAAUGGUAUUUUGAUCGGGAUGUCGAAUGCGUUUGUGACUUUUUUAAAAGACGUUUUUGCUAUGAAGAUGAGAGAGUGCCAAAAUUUUCAAGCGUUGUAAGAAUUGCAUAUCUGGAUUCAGAAGUGGCUGCUAGCGGCUGCACUAAGAAAAAGGAAAAGUUGCAUGAGCAGCUAAUUUAUUUGCAGGAGGACAACGAUUGUAGUAGUGAAGAAGACGGCCAAUUUGAGAAAGAAAUCUCCACUUGUCACGUGCAUUUGGAUAAACUUUCUUUGCAGUCUACAGACAAUACAGUUCCUGAUGAAAGUAUUUCCAUAUUUUCAAGCACUGACUGGA